GGGAGAUGACAGCGGGGGUUACACGGUGCCCUGCGGGAUGGGGGGCACAUCCCGGGCUGCCCACAUCGCAUCACCUCUGCAGAGGAGCUCACCGGGAGCCAAAACUGCGGAAGUUCUUGAUGUACAUUGGAACAGCAAGAGGCAAGCAAACCCAAACUACUGUGAUGUCUGUCCAGCAUCCUCUGGAACAACAGUGAGUCAGACCCGUAAAAAUGAGAAAGAAGUCCAAGUCUAGCAGAAGUGGAUGCUGGGACAGGCUUGAACGCUAGGGCUGUGACCACCCCUGCUCACCAACAGCCACUGGCAGCACGGCUGUUGUGUAAUUCGAGUUACAAGGAAAAGUCAAGAGACUUGAUCAAUAAAACUGUAUUUAUCACACAGCAA